UUAAGUCCCGCAACGAGCGCAACCCUUGAUCUUAGUUGCCAUCAUUAAGUUGGGCACUCUAAGGUGACUGCCGGUGACAAACCGGAGGAAGGUGGGGAUGACGUCAAAUCAUCAUGCCCCUUAUGACCUGGGCUACACACGUGCUACAAUGGACGGUACAAAGAGCUGCAAGACCGCGAGGUGGAGCUAAUCUCAUAAAACCGUUCUCAGUUCGGAUUGUAGGCUGCAACUCGCCUACAUGAAGCUGGAAU
rnacentral:rRNA from 1 species